CCUGAUCCAGCAAUGCCGCGUGUGUGAAGAAGGUCUUCGGAUUGUAAAGCACUUUCGACGGGGACGAUGAUGACGGUACCCGUAGAAGAAGCCCCGGCUAACUUCGUGCCAGCAGCCGCGGUAAUACGAAGGGGGCUAGCGUUGCUCGGAAUGACUGGGCGUAAAGGGCGCGUAGGCGGUUUGGACAGUCAGAUGUGAAAUCCCCGGGCUUAACCUGGGAACUGCAUUUGAUACGUCCAGACUAGAGUUCGAGAGAGGGUUGUGGAAUUCCCAGUGUAGAGGUGAAAUUCGUAGAUAUUGGGAAGAACACCGGUGGCGAAGGCGGCAACCUGGCUCGAUACUGACGCUGAGGCGCGAAAGCGUGGGGAGCAAACAGGAUUAGAUACCCUGGUAGUCCACGCUGUAAACGAUGUGUGCUGGAUGUUGGGUAACUUAGUUACUCAGUGUCGAAGCUAACGCGCUAAGCACACCGCCUGGGGAGUACGGCCGCAAGGUUGAAACUCAAAG
rnacentral:rRNA from 1 species